rnacentral:rRNA from 1 species
AUGUGCUCGCUGGGCCACGGAUCAGAUGGCCUCGGUCAUUCUGGAAAGCCUCGCCGCCGCAUCCGCUUCAGACCAGAGGAGAGAAAACAGAGGACACAAGAGCUGCGCCUACCCGGGCGUGCGACGCCGCCGAAGACCGAAGGGAUGGACACCGACGACAUGGAGUUCCUGCUGGAUGCGGUCCACAGGGGAAACCUAGCUGAGAACAACCGUUCUUGCAAAUGCGAGUGCCCGGCUCUGAUCAGGCUGUUGCGUGCGUCGGACAACAGCUGGUACAUCACGAAGCACCGUGAGAACCACAAUCACUCAAUGUCACUUACCAUGGGUGAGAAAGUAUACUGGCCCUCGCACAAACAUAUUGAUGUGUACACAAAGGAUUUGAUAAGGCAACUUAGGGAGAACAAUGUUAACCUUGGGAAAGUGUACAAUAUAAUUGGGAGCUUCUUUGGGUCAGUGGAGAAGGUACCGUUCACAAAAAGGACUCUCGGGAACAUAUGCGGCAAGAUUAGUCGUGAACAAGCAGACGAUGAUGUGCGGAAAACAUUGGAAGUAUUUGCGGAUAUCCGUUCCACCGACCUAGGUUUCACCUAUGUGGUACUGGCAGGCAAUUCCAGGAAGGUGAAGAACGACAUACGGAAGCAGUCGUAUGUAGUAUAA